CCGAGUUUACAACUCCCAAACCCACUGUGAACCUAUACCAUCUACCGUUGCUUCGGCGGGUUUUUCGCCCCGGAACAGGCUCUCCCCUUCCAGGGGGGGCAGGCCCGGAACCAGGCGCCCGCCGGGGGACCCAAACUCUUGUAUUUUACCUAUGGCAUGUCUGAGUGGAAUCAUACACAAUGAAUCA
rnacentral:misc_RNA from 1 species